GACAUAGUUACAUGUCAUUAAAAUAUUUUUAAACUGAAUAUGUGUUUGCAUUCAUAAUGGAGCAGAGAAUUAACGCACUAAUCUGUAAUGCAGAUAUUAGUCCUUCCUGGAAUCUCAAGAAGGCUCUGCUAGAUGGGUGGAAGAACUGUACUUAUGUGUAGUUACAAGUCAGGAAAUAUCAAAGAAAUGCUUCUGGUACAACUAUAACUGAGUGAGAAGACAUCCAGAGCCUACUACAGAUGCCAGGAGAUCUUCCAGUGCACGCUUUCAGUUCAUCUGAAUGCAUCAAGAACGUCACUGAAGUGAAAGAGGUAUCCACAGAUCAGGAAUUUUCUUACUCCUGGAAAAAAUAUAAUUUAUUCAAACAACUGAUUCACAUGUCUGUUUUGGAAAUUAAAUAACAUGUAUUUAUUAAUAUUAGCUAGUAAGCAUACCGCAAUCUCAGCAUAUCAUACUAAUGGAAAGCAUUUUAAGCGAACACUACAAUAACUGUCCUUUUGUGAGCUGAAACACAAAGAAGUCUGUCUGCAUUGUCCCCUAUACCAAUAUGACAGUUCCAAAAUGUUCAUCUGCAUAGAACAGCCUCUAUCUGGAAAAGCACAGGAAUAAGCACUUUAUCCCUGUCCUUCCACAGAUGCCAUGUAAGGGCUUUCCUUUGAAGUCUCUACCACUACACACUGCCUGAAGUGGGAUAGCAGCCUGAAAGAAGCUGUGUCUGGGUUCACUAACGUGGGUGAUAUUUCCUCCCAUAAGAACUAUUUUCAGCUUUUGCCUGCCAAACAUUCUUCACCAUGAAAGUUCUUGCUCUCUAGAUGGCCCUUUUCACUGUGGCUUAUGAGUGUUUCAUUAUCUAAAAUGUACCCCUUAUCUUGCUUUAGCUUUAAAAUAGUCUAUCAGGCUGAAAAUGAUUACCUCCUGCCUAGCAGGGAAGACGCAGUGUGCUUGUCAGUCCAUCCUAUGGUUUGCGUGACACACCUCUCUUAGCCAUCACCUUUCUCCCCCACUCCCAGCGGAGGUCACUCACAGAAGCAAAAACCACCUCUGCUGCAGCACAGCCUUAGCAGUUAUCUCCAAAUAGAAUAACUUAUCUUUGCUAGAGGAAUUUUUGCUGGUGCAAUUGCUUUU
rnacentral:lncRNA from 1 species